CCUACGGGUGGCAGCAGUGAGGAAUAUUGGUCAAUGGACGAGAGUCUGAACCAGCCAAGUAGCGUGAAGGAUGACUGCCCUAUGGGUUGUAAACUUCUUUUAUAAAGGAAUAAAACGAGGCACGUGUGCCUCUUUGCAUGUACUUUAUGAAUAAGGAUCGGCUAACUCCGUGCCAGCAGCCGCGGUAAUACGGAGGAUCCGAGCGUUAUCCGGAUUUAUUGGGUUUAAAGGGAGCGUAGAUGGGUUGUUAAGUCAGUUGUGAAAGUUUGCGGCUCAACCGUAAAAUUGCAAUUGAUACUGGCAGUCUUGAGUACAGUUGAGGUAGGCGGAAUUCGUGGUGUAGCGGUGAAAUGCAUAGAUAUCACGCAGAACCCCGAUUGCGAAGGCAGCAUACCGGCGCCCUACUGACGCUGAGGCACGAAAGUGCGGGUAUCGAACAGGAUUAGAUACCCCGGUAGUC
rnacentral:rRNA from 1 species